rnacentral:lncRNA from 1 species
UGGAUGCAAAUUGUGUUUCUAUGUUUAAAUCUUGAUUUCCUAUUCCAGUGCGCUGAUUACGUUCUUGUCUAAUACCUUGUUGACUGGUGUUGUCUGACAGUGUGCUUUCGCUUUCAUCUUUAGAUAUUGACAUUUGAACAGUGUAAUUAUCCAUAAUUUUAUUUUUGCUGAUCUUCACUGUUCUGUAAAUUUUAUAGUUACAAAAGAUCAUAACAACAAGGGGAACACCGAAACAACAAC